CACCAUCAUUUUGAUUAGAAAUACUAUGUUAUACAUCAUGAAAAUUAAAAUAAUGUUGUAACUUUAAGUAUAUUCUGUGAUAUAAGGGCGAACAAAGGAACCAAGCUACUAUACUUUAGUGGAAUACUCCUUUUUAGAAAACAAUGAACUGACGUUAAAUGAUUUUCUUUUCAAAAUCUUGAUUUGUGCAUUCAUAUUUUUAGUUUGUUCUCUUUGAUUCAAAAUCCAUGCAAUAAGUUCUUGAGAAAUAUUUUUAAUGAAAAUAUGAACAAACAUUCUGUGUCUUAUUUAACAAUGAGAUUUUACGUCUAUUCUUAUUUAGAAGUCCCGCAGUUCCGUCUUUAUUUCCUGAAUCUAAUAUCAAAAGAGGCAUUGAAAGAUUUUAUUUCAGUGUAUUUCUGACGAAUGAUUACAAUCUAAAUUUUUAUCAGCUUAAAACGUUUUCGUUCACUCUCUAGACCAUAUUUACCGCUCGACCUGCAAUGAGCACAACACCAGAAAGGGAAACAAAUCUUACCACAAACAUAUACCACAAACAAAAUUGGAUACUAACGUCAGUUACAGCAUUUAUAAAUCAACCAAAGACGACAAAAAUCAACAGUGAGACCGCAGUUCCUCCGCAUACUUCAUUAAAUAUAUCACUUGAGGGUAAACCAACAGUCAUAACAGACCAAUUCUCAUACGCAGCAACAACAAUGAAUCAACUGAAAAUAAAGGAAAUUAAUGGUACUACAUAACAGCUAGGCCAAAAUUUCCCUCAAAUUGAAUUUUCUGAAGCGUUGAUAUUUUGUUCUAGAAUACAAAAUCUAUCUUGAUAUAUCAUGAAAAAGAAAUUUAAUCAUAUAUUUUUGCACUCACAGUUAGAAACAUGCCCUAUCAGACCUCUGUAAGAAGGUUCUGGAAUCAGACAUUCGACUUGAGAAUGAGCUUUUUUACAAAAUCAUCAAUUACAUUUUAAUUUAUUGCACAGUUUUGUAAAGCAAUUAUCAAUUAAAAUUAAAGACAACACUUCUGAUACUUAAUUUCAGUAAAAGUAUACUCGUCUGGUAAAUUUGAGUAAAAAUAGAACAUACAUAGAGUUAUGCUUGAAAUUUCACCAUUGAAAUACGUCACAAAGAUCGAGUUAGAAGUAAGAAUUGGUAUUGCGAGUUAGAAUUGGUAUUACGUCACAAUGGUCGGAUUCGUAAUUCAGACUAUUCUGGGUUUUAAUAUUUCAAAGCGAAUGUCAUACCGGUUAAAUAAACUGCGCUAAAAAUAAUGCCGAGAGAUAACAAGGAAAGAUUUAUUAAAGAAUCUCGUCAGAAAGAAGGAUUAACGAUGGGAAGAGAGAAAAGCAAAAUACGUAAUAGCGGUAAAGUGAGUAAUAGUGAGAAAUCUCUUUUGUUUUGUUUAUUUAAUCAUUUUUCUUUAUUCAUAUAUUAAUAUUAUUAUUUAUGUUGUUUGAAUGUCCAAGCAUAUGUAUAAUUGAUACCUAUGUUGCUUACUUGAUAUUAAGUUUUUUCUUUUCUGUCAGUACUAGUAAAUGUUAGGUACUUUUCUGUGCUUUAUAGAUGUCCUUACUCGUGAGAGUCAUAUAUUAUAUAUUUCUCUCUAUUAUUAUUCAUUCCAUCAGCAUGUUCGAUUCAGUGCUUACUAGAGUUACAAUAAUCUGGGGCGUAUUGUACUUUAUAUUUCUUUUACCUGUGAUAGUCAUAAGUUUGCAAAAUAAUUUAUGUUGCUUCUUUAUUUCUUAGUUUAUUUAAAUGGCAGCUAGUAACUGUGCUUGUUUACCCUUAAAGUGUCAUUUCAAUGGUUCAUUUAAAUUAUCUUUUUCUUUUUACUAGAAACGUUUAUUUUUACAGAUGUCGACAAUCAAUACAAUUUACUUGACUUACUUGACUAGUCUUAAUCUUAAGAACAUAUACAUGUAGUUGGAACAGAUCACAAAUAUUUCGAUGGUGAUAAUGGUGUUGACGAUACUUGCCAAAUCACAAAAAAAGUUGUAUUGUCGCAAGAAAAUGAAGAGAAGAAGUCCCAGUGGCGCAGUCGGGUUGUGAAUUUGGGCAUUAUCGCAGACGGGUUGAAGAGCUAUCAACUAUGCGGUCAUCCACUCAAUAACUUGUUCAGUUGUGUGAGCGAAAGAAAGUUCUCCCUAGCACAUGUUUAAAUUGCUAAAUGUAAUUUUUCGGAAUGAGCACCUAAACGAGGUACCAACAGACGGAAAACACAAAACACGAAGUGGUGUUAACAUGAGAUUUUAUUACUAAAUUAGCGGCAGCUUGGUAGUGUUAAAGUUUCUCAUUUGACACCCCUUUCCAUCAAGAAUUUGUUUAUAACCCUGUAUAGAACUGUUGCUCUUUAUUAAUUAUUAAAAUGCAAAUUUAAUGCCUUUUUUAGCAUAGUGAUUAAUGAAGGACUUUGUGAAACUCAAAGCGAAUUGUUUAUUGGCUUCUCUGAGCAUUCCUACAAUUACCUUGAAGAGUCUGAAGGAGCAGGAAAGAGAAGUUUGGAACUAGCUGGAUUUAAUGGCUGAAGAAAGUUGUCUACAGAUUCUUUGCUGAGAAAUUAAAAUGUGUUUUUAUAUGUUUUGAUAUAUUUAUAUGUUUUAUGUGUUUCAUGUAAAGAAGAAUCUGAUAAAGGAGUUCUUUGUUUAGAAUAGACCGUUUCACAAUACCUGCGGUACUACUCUUUUGCAGGGCAAAAUGAUACAUUUUAGCAAAAUAUGACGAAAAGCUUUUUUUGAUAUACAUUAUUUAAUUAUUUAUGAACAAAAACUUCGGAAAACGUU